GCCCGUGUAGUUCAAUGGAUAGAACGGAAGUUUCCUAAACUUUAAAUCAGAGUUCGAUUCUCUGCGCGGGUA
rnacentral:tRNA from 1 species